rnacentral:piRNA from 1 species
UUAGCAAAUAAGAUUGGUAGACUGU